GGGUUGUGAGGUUAAGCGACUAAGCGUACACGGUGGAUGCCCUGGCAGUCAGAGGCGAUGAAGGACGUGCUAAUCUGCGAAAAGCGCCGGCGAGGUGAUAUGAACCUUUGACCCGGCGAUGUCCGAAUGGGGAAACCCAGUGCAAUUCGUUGCACUAUCGUUAACUGAAUACAUAGGUUAACGAGGCGAACCGGGGGAACUGAAACAUCUAAGUACCCCGAGGAAAAGAAAUCAACCGAGAUUCCCCCAGUAGCGGCGAGCGAACGGGGAGCAGCCCGGAGUCUGAAUCAGCUUGUG
rnacentral:rRNA from 1 species